GAGAUGUUAGUUAAACCAUAACAAUGCCUUGUCAAGACACAAUUACAAGUUAAACUCUUGUAUAUCUCC
rnacentral:tRNA from 1 species